rnacentral:lncRNA from 1 species
CCUCACAAAACAAGCACCGUCACGAUUUAAGUCCAGUUCUGUUCCAGAUUCUGCAACCCCCCUUCUGCUGGGCUGGCGACUGGAGCUGGUUUUCUACUUCCACAGGGAUGGUUUCCGAACGGCGAGGAUUCCAGCUACCGCUUUUUGUGAAAGGUCAGAAUCGUCAUUGCAUCUUGUUUGUGUCUCUGUGUGUGUGUGUGUGUCAGUGUGUGUGUGUACAUGCCCUCUUAAUUUCUUUCUUGAUCUUUUAUGAGUAUAUUAAAUACUCAAGGCCCAUUUUGGAAGGAACAGAAAAUAGAGAAGAAAAGACUUAUUAUCAUGACUUUUUUAACGACAUUCUCACAAUAUUAAUUUGUUUGAAAAUUCAACCCAAAAAAAAAGAGUAAAUCUUUCCUACACUAACGAUGUAUACAUUAUCAUCAUUGAAUUCAUGAUACAUGUAUAAAAGUUGAAUUUUAAAUUCAAAUUUUAUAUAAUUAUCAUUAAUCCAACAUUGAUAGUAUAUACACUGUCAGUGUAAGAAAUAUUAAUAAAAAAAAAGAUAGAAUAAUUUUGAACAUUUUGAUAUGACAAGCAUUUUUUAGUUCGCGUUUCAUCAAUAAAGUUGGCAAUCCUUUAGUUUGGUUUUCCUUUUAUUUCUCUUCAUUGCCCAUGCCCACAGUAGAAAUUCAUUCCUCCAUUUCUCACCUUUUCUUUCCGCUUGAACCUCCCAAAAAAAAAACAAAAAUAGCUAUUCCUCUCUCUCCAAAUUGUUUCAUCCACAAAGUGAAAUUGAGUUUUGGAAAAAUAAUAAUUUACAAAAAAAUAAUGAGACUAAAACGGAGCUUAUAGUCUAAAUUUAGCUGAAAAAUACAUCCAACAUAUAAGAUGAAAAGCAAAAAGUUCCAUGUGGAUUGAAAGUCUAGACACUGCCGAAAAGAAGUCAAAAUCAACCAAAGAGCAAAAUAUGCUCUAAAAAGCAAAACACCAACAGUGAAAAUUGUGCAAUGGUUUAGGUUUAGGGAAAAUUUCAAAUACCUCUCCUGAGGUUUCUGAUAGUUUCACUCCCCUCCCUUGUGAUUUUAAUAAUACCACAAACCUCUCCUGUCAGAUUGUGAGGUCCCAUUUCUUACGUCAUUGGUGCCAAAAAGACUUAAAUGCCCUCACAAGUUUGCUAAUAUUUUGUGAUUAUCUGAAAAAAUUUAGUUAAGUUAGUUAUAAACACAAUUAAUGUAAUUAACGAAACAUUAGAGCCCUAACAACCAAUAUAGAAAGGGGCCUUUAGCAAAAUGGCACCAAACUUAGGUGCCAUGGUCUGAUUGACAUAACAGCUUGACAGACACGGUAUAUAUAGAAGCAAGAAACUUACUUUGUUCCCACCAUUGUCGAGAUAUAGCAACUGAGGUUGAUGGCUGGCAAACAAAGCUCUUGAUUCUCGUUAAGAAAGCUCCCCUGAGGAACAAAGGUCUUGGCAAACAAAUUGAAGAGUCUCUGAGCUCAUUAAGAAAAAUUUACCAGGUAAGUGUUUAUGAUUUCGUACUCUGUUUCAAUAUGAUAUUGGCAGCUUAUGAUGAUUUGGUUGUUGUUUGCGUAAGCUUGAUACAUGUUUGCUUAUGAUUUUCUGGUUUGUCAUGUGACUUGGUUUGCUAAGCCUCUACCAGAUUAUGUUUACUUGAUUCUAAAUUUCUCGUCUGACUUGGGUUAUUUGAUAUAGUUAGAUGCCAAACCUCGGUACUUAGAAAGCUUAUGCUUACACUGUAACUUCAGCAACCAAUGUUGCAAGACGGUUAAUAUUAUAGCUAAUAUUUUCUGUAACUUCAAUAACUAAUAUUGCAACUUCAGUAGCUUAUGAUUGUCUAUUGUAGGAUGGUUAUCACUGAUGUUCAUGAUAUUGUGCUGUAUUUUGUGGGAAGAAAAGUAAGAGUGGCUAAGGUAGAUCCCAAGAGUUACUUGUACAUUGAUUUUCUAAAUGAUGUUGCUGAGAAGGCAUUGCAAGAAAUGGCUGGAAAUGUCAAUCUACUAAUGCACAUGAGAUGCGAAAUACCUGGUACAGCUGAGUACUUAGAUGUGAAUGAUGACCAAUCUAUUGCUGAAUGUUCAAGCUGCAUCAAUCUCAUGUAGUCAUCAAUAUACUAGUGUUGGAAAUGGAUAUCAUCCCUGCCGAACAGAGUGAUAGCUUUCUAAACAGAAAUCCAAUAAAUGAGCAUGAGAAUUUAGGAACUGAAAAAACUACUAGAAGUAAGAAAAUCGAGAUUCAUGAAUUAAACUGUGAGACUAAGAGUACAGUUGUGAUUCUACGUCUGAUGAAUCAUGGAAACAAGGUUGGGAUAGUAACAAUGAGGAUUUAGAUGAUGAGCAUUGGUCUGUAUUCCAAAGUGACAGUUGUGAUGAUGAUUUUUCUGACUUUGAUGACAAGAAAAAUGCGAAUAUUGUACCUGAUUCUAAAUCUGAACAUGAAAUAGAUCCCAUGAGAGAAGCCUUAAGAGCUAAGAUGUGGACUUACAAUCGAAGGGAGGACAUUGAGUUAAGAAGGGACAGCUUUUCACAAAUAUUGAUGCUUUUAUAGCAGCAUUAAAGGAUUAUGUGAUCCAAAAAGAUUUUCCCCUACAAAGAUUGAAGAAUGAAAAAUGUCGAUGUACGACCAAAUAUGGUGUUAAUGGAUGCAAGUGGAUAAUUCAUGUCUCACCUUUAGUAGAUUUAGUGACAUAUAUGAUAAAAUCAUACAUACCAGAACACACUUGUGUGAUGGACAACAAGUGUCGAGAGACCACCUCUGAUUGGAUGGCCAAGAAACUUGUUGCUGUGAUAAGAAAUCAUCCUGACAUUUCAAGAAAGGGGAUUGAAGCUAAGAUACUAAAAUAUGGUGUUCAUCCUAGCAAACAAUAAGUGUACAGGGCAAGAGAAAAGGCCAGGGAGGAAAUUGAGGGUACACAUGCAACUUCAUAUAGUAAGAUGCCAAAAUAUGUUGUUCUUUUAAGGCAGAGCAAUCCUGGUAGCAUAUGCAAAAUUCACUAUAACAGACCCAAUUUACUUGUCGAGCCAAGAUUUUUUAGAUUGUUUAUAAGUUUCAAAUGUCAGAAAAAUGGUUUCUUAACUGGUUGUAGACCUUUUAUUGGUUUUGAUGGUUAUCACUUGAAAGGUAGUUUUGGUGGAGUAUUACUAACUGCUGUGGCAUUAGAUGCAAAUAAUUCAAUUUUUCCUAUUGCAUUUGCUGUGGCUGAAUCUAAAAACAAAGAAACCUGGAGCUGGUUCUUUUACUUUUUUCAAGAAUUCUUUGGACCAUUUGAUAAUAGUGUUCAUUUAACAUUCAUGUGUGAUAGACAAAAGGUAUAGACCUUGUUUACUUUACUAUCAUGGCAAAUGUCUCAUUCUAUAUGUCCAGCUGUGCCUAUUAUUUGAUUGGUUUUAAUCUUUGCUGUAGGAAUUGAAUCUUGUUUAUGAGGAGAUGAUUCCAUUAGCUACUGGAUGGUAUUGUUGCAAACACAUUUGCAGCAACUUUAGGCUUCAAUUUCCUGAACUAUUACUGAACAAUUUGUUUUGGAAAGUUGCUAAGAGCUAUGAUGCAAUAUGCUACAAUGAAGCAAUGGCCUCCAUUAAAGACAUGAAUAUAGAAGCAUAGAGAUAUUUAUCAAAAAUUCCACCUGUGUCUUGGGCUAGGCACGCAUACUCAACUGAGAUGAAGUGUGACCAUGUCACAAACAAUUUUACUGAAUCUUUCAAUGCAUGGAUGGGAGAUUUAAGAGCUAAACCAAUACUGACUCUUGCUGAUGGUUUAAGGAAAAAGAUCAUGAAAAAACUGCAUAAAAAAUAUCAGAAGGCCUGCACAUGGAGCUCUAACAUCACUUCAAAGAUCACUGAAAAGCUGAAGGAAUUGUUGGACUGUCUUGGAGAUCACUGCAAAUGACAAGUGAGGAAAUAUUUGAAGUUGGUGAUGUAGAAGAGAAUACAUUGUUAAUUUGACCCAAAAGACUUGUGAUUGUGGUGCUUUUCAAUUGUCAGGACUGUCUUGUAAGCAUGCUACACUAGGCAUUAUAUAUAGAAGACAAAAAUUAGAGACUUACUGUGAUGCUUGCUUCUCAACAGAAUUGUGGUUUAAGGCAUAUAGUGGUCCAAUUUCUCAUGAGAAACGAUGGUUUCCUUUACCUGAUGUCACUCCAACAAUUAUCUUACCUCCACCCUUGAGGAGAGCUCCAGGUAGAUCAAGGGUGAAUAGAAGGCGAGAACCUGAUGAACCAGCUCCAUUUCAGACAAAGAGGUCUACUACUUUGAGAUGUAGGAAUUGCAAUGCUUUUGGCCAUAAUAAAAGAACAUGCCAAAGAGCACUUGUGAGAGGAAAUAACUCUGCCACGCAAACAAAUCAGCAGGUUCAUUACUGAUUUGUAAUAUUCAUUAUGUUACUUUGUUCACUUUACUUAAGAUCAUGACAUUCAGCUUCAUGUACAGAUUCCUAAGAGAAGAGUAAAGCCUGGCAGGGGAAUUGCAAACACAAGCUUGGCAAGAUCUGUGCUCUGGUAAACAUUACUUUAUUGUAGAUAUAGUGAGUUCUAACUAUUUAGUAUCAAAUAACUAGCUGUUAACUACUUAUGAGGAGAUUUUCCUAAUGCAGGAUCACGUAGAUGGGAGUGUGCCUGUUGUGAUUUCCAGUCAAGGCAGCAAUCCAAGCCCAUCAACUGAACCUGGUGCAGCUAAUAUUCAACUGAAUGUACAGACAACUAUGGAUGCUGCUAAGAGAAAGGUAUCUUGUGCUGCUUGACUGGAAAUUAUUUUACCAAUUCUGAGUUGCUCAUCUUAUGCACUUAUCCUACAUCAUUUCAGAGAGGAAGACCCUCAAAGAAAGAUGGAACAUCUGCUAUAACUAAUAUCAAGAAGAGAACUUCAUUUGCAGCUUUACAACCAAUGCCAGUUAUGCUAACUGCUAGAGCCAAUUCCACUAGAAAUUUCCACUUCCAAACUUCUGUGAACACCAAUACAUCAACUAAUCAUGACUCACACAAUCUCAGUAGCAGCUUUGGCUUGAGGUUUUAAAUAGUUAGACCUCUCCUGUCAUAUGUUGUUGUUAUGCAACUACUAAACAAUACUGCUGUUCUUUUGUAUUUAUUUAGAAUUGGAGAUACUUUUGUCACUGUUAGUUUUACUGAAACUUUGGAGCAACUUUUGGUUUUGUAUACCAUCUAUGGACUUAGAACCUAUGCAUGAUUUUUUGCCUGACAUUUGAAUUCCAAGCAGCAGUGUAAAUUCAUUAAAGACAUACAGUUUGUAUUUUUAGAGUAAAGUGCAAUAUGCAGGGUGUUACUUUUCAUAUUUUUGUUGUAAAUCUGAUUGUAUGGUAUUGUCUUAGUAAGAUCAUAAUAAACAACGUCUUGCAUGCACAUACUUCAACUAUAAGUUCAGCAAAUAGCAAUAGGAAUAUUACUUCAACAAUCUGCCAUUUGUUCAGCAUUCUACUGCAUCAGUCUCAUUAAACUGACUUCACAAUUUGAAUAAACAUAUAAAUUGCUAAGAAUAUAAGGUUAAGUAUCAUUAGCUUUGUCACUAUGGAGUAUUGUUGUUCAACUCUACCAAUCUGGACUUGUUCUUCCCUUUGCAUUGAUGAAUGUCUGCGUUCUCUUUGGCUGCUCACCUCUUCCUCUUUUGGACCUUCAUACCAUUCAAAGAAUCUGCAAUUUGUGUAGCAAAAGCACAGCUUGUGUGGAUUCUGUACACUCUCAAAAAUUUUAAUGAUUGUCUUGCGAUUACAUCGACAAUAUCUAUUUCUAAUUGUAAAUGAUGUAGGUGAAUUCCAGAAUUCACCUCUGCUGCUUGAAUUGGCCAUUUGUGCGUGUAUUUGUUGCUGCUACAGUUCAUCCAACACCAAGCACUUUAGUUGCAUCCAACAUCAAGCACUUCAGUUGCAUCUCCCCAAUUAACAUUUGUUUCUUGCUGUUUGUUGCAUCUCUUGCUGCUGCAUUUUACUCUCAUAAAUAGCCUUCUAAACUGGCCGUUGCAUAUGAACAUUAGAACUAACCGCUAGAAAGAGCCGUUGGCUUCUAUUUUGUUCACCACUGACGUUCAGACCUUAAUGAAUGCAUUGGUCUCACUUACACCUCCUCAAGUUUCAUUCUUCUUUACUUCAUUAGCUCAUUGAUGCAAGAUAAUGAGGGCAUUUGUAGUAUACUUUUGUUUCUCUCUCCAGCUACUGAUUUUUUAUUGUUUGUAUUUUUAAAUUGGAUCUAUUUUGACAUUGCCUAUUUAGUUUUAAGGGAAGUUUGUGGUAUUAUUGAAACCACAGGGGAGGGGAGUGAAACUGUCAGAAACCUCAAGAGAGGUAUCUGAAAUUAUCCCUUAGGUUUACUAUAUGCAGAUGCACAAACAUUGGACUUUAGAAUAACAUAAGUACUUAACAUUUUCUUAUUCAAGGUUGGGGAAAAAAAUUUAUUGUAGUCUCUUUAUCAAAUCCAGAGGAUAAAACUCUCAGGUCAGCAUCCAUUUCUGUCUUCUGGAGAUGCAAAGCAUCAAACCUUGACACCCACUUGAUGAACUCGUCCACGAGCCACCUUAUAGAUUAAUCUUCCCAAGACAGAUCAAGACAUAUGGUGGUUAUCCGUCAGAAUUAAGAUCUUUAUGCACACUCAAAGUGGGGCUUCUUGAGCUUCUGAAGAAUGCUUUCCAGUCACCACCUCAAAAUAAUGACUGGGAAUCUCUGAGGGUGGACACAAUGCUGCAACACGUUUGAACUGUUCACAAGAGUAAUAGUACUAAAACAGUCAGUAGUUAUUAAACAAAUUUAAGCAACAGAGCCCAUGACACAACUGGGUCCAAGUAAAGAAGAAAAAGAGAAAAAAGUACUUCACUGUGGUGCCACUUUUAAGUACAAAGCUCAUAUGGUAAACAAAGUUAGGAUACCUUGUUUUGCAUGUAUUUUUCUCUUAAUGCUUGUGCAGAGGUCGGUCUUCUAUUAAGCUGUAGAUCAUUAAUGGCAAGGAUACACUCCUUUAAAUCAGAUGCUUUGUAACCUGUAUAUCUCUGCAAUGCCAAACUCUGCAGCAACUUAAAAGUAAGUCCAUAUCAUAAACAUAGUACAGAUUACUGUUAAGACUAGAAGGGAGUGCAAUCAAUUCCUAAUUAAGUUGAAGCUCAAAAAAUUUGCAUCUAGAAUCCUCAUUUCGCGUGUGCAUCAACAGACAUAUAAUACAAGCACGAUUAUUCAUUUGAGCGCUCUUUAUUUGAAGUAACUUUUGGCAUAUGACUAUAUUAGAUUAGAUGUUGGUACCCGAGGAAAAAGUUCAUGUUAUCUUGCCAGCUAAGAAAAGCAAGGAGUAAUCAUUUUAAAUCAUUUUUAGGUAUAUUUGGUUUUAUUUUUUCUCCAGAAUUUGUGCACUUCGCAAUUGGAAAUCAAACAUGUCGUUUCCAGAUUUAUUGAAUGGCAAACUCUCAGGUGAAGAAUGAUAAAACUUGCUGACAAGCUUAAGCAGAAAAAGUAGUUCUCAACAAAUACAGGAUUCAGGCCUCAAUUGACAGUGUGAAUCUGGAAAAGGGAGGUAGAUAGAAGAAAUUUGUGAUUUAUUCUUUCUUUUGAAGUUUUUGGACUGCUUGACUCCAUGGUUCAAAAAUUAAAACUAAUGACAGAAUAAUCUGCAGGUAACACGUCCUGCAUGAACAAAUGACUGAUAAAUGUGUAUUGUAUCUUACCCAGGGAUGAAUGCUUGGUAGCAUUGUAAAUCUAGCAAGAAAAAUUGCUGAAGCAGCAAUCAUUGAUGGCAAGAACCUCACACAGAUAUAAUCUAGCAAGCUUAGCUCCGCCAGGUAACAAGCCAAGAACUCAAAUUGCAAGUUGGAAAACUAGAAAAGACAAGGGAGCUUGAUCACAGGUAUUAUUUUGAGGAGCGCAAAAUAGAAGAAACAUUACAAAGCAUAGAGGGAUUGGCAUACCGUUGAGAUUUCUUGUGCAGCCUUGGUGAACGUUCUGCAAAGCCACCACACAAAUGCCAUGAGUUAAUCAAUGCUGUGCACAUAUAGGGUUGGAAGUGAUAGAUAAAAACAGCAACCAAUAAAACACUUGAAAAUUGGCUGACCUGAGAAAACUCUUUGCUGUUGGAUUAGAUGUAUUGAAAUUUAAAAACAUUAGUAUAUUGCUCUCCAUAGCUACAACCUGUAUUUGACACCAAACACAGCAAACGGAAAUUUAGUAGGGCUUUCCAGAAAAAAAGGAAAAACAUAAAAAUUAGCUAGAGAAACAAAGAACCUCUUCUCUGGUGUACGUAUUAUCUGUUAUGUAGCAACAAUCUUCAAUAUGUGGAGGAGUAAUUUCUUCAAACUUUCUGCAGUUAGAGCAGACAAAAGAGAUUAACCAAGGCAAAGGCAAAGACUGACCAAGACAGUGGGGUGGGAGGAAGAAGGAACUAAUAAGGUUCAGAUGAGCAUACGCAGCUACAAGCAUGCUGGAUACACCAAGGAGUUGAAGUUUCGUCCUCGACAAAGCAUGUGAGGAUAGGAAUCUAUCUAUGUAGUUCACAGUCAGAUAAAGAGUAUCAGAGACAAGUUUGUAUUCAUCAACAACCUCCACCAGCCAAUCAACUAGAAUUUCUCGCAUAGUUGGUGUUAUGUCUUUCUGAACCUUCUCCAUGUAAUUGUGCAACGGCCUUCUGUUUCCUUCCACCUAUAUCAUAAGAGCUAGACUAGUAUGAGAUUUUUAUCGAUCUGAACUAAUGAUAACAUACUAAGAGAGGAUGAAUCACUAUGUAUAUGAAAGGAUACAUAUCCCAACUAACAUGUCUUCGGUACAGAAAAUUAAGCCAGGUUGAUGCAUUCACUUUAAUUACCCAGUAUCCAGAUUAUUCACCUCAAUAUCUCCCCACAAGAAUACACAUAAAAUCUCAAUUAUCUGCAGAAAGGUUAGGUGUUCAAUUUAUUAAACAUAUACUUUUUGUGUUGAUCAAAAUCAAUUUCUUAGCAGGCAAAUUAAGGUGUAGCAGGUAACUUCAGGAUAAGUGGUCCAAAUAUAUUCUUCAAGCAGAAUACGACUUCUUGGUGCAAAUUGAAUUUUUGUUUUCAUAAAACAUUCAGUAAAAUUUGUCGUACAAGAAUAGUACACUAAUAUUAAUUGAUAUACUGCAACAAGAGAACCACUAGAAAACACUUAGCACUAAAACAAAAGAUUGGCAAUUAAAGAGCUCCUAAACAUCGUCAACCACAAAUUUCAUGCACCCACAAAAGACAUAAGUACCUAGGAAUUACAUUUGAAGGGGAAUCAAAGAUUUCACAUAAAAUCGCCCUGCAACAUAUUUUUGAAAUCCAAUAUGAGAAACACUAAGAAUUGGAAACUAAGACGUCCGAUUAUUUCAUUUCCAAACAGUACCAACUUUUGGUUCGGCCUUGUAGGGAAUAAAAAACAAUGGCUUAACAGCACAGUUUAAUUGAGGAGAGAGCAAAAUUGAUGGAAAAAUUUAAGUUACCUCCAGUGAGCGAAGAUGCUGAUAAAUGAGAGGGGCAUCGGCAUAUUUGCGGGAAACAUCAGGGCAACGAUCAACAUGAGCAUCUGAUUUCACUACCUCCUCUUUUUCUCUACUGGUACUGGAUUUUGGUUUCGGGUGGACAGGCUUUGGAAUACUGCUCAACUCGACAAUCUUGGGGAUGUUGGUGAGCUCACCCAAGACGACCCUCUUCUUGGUGGUUACUGAAAGUUGUUGCCGUCCUUGCAGAGACUCAAUAUUGGUAGUAGUAGUGGUAGCAGCCGUCAUCAUGGGCCGUUUCUUUGAUGGCCGUCCGGGAGUGCUCCCCAGGCAGUUCUCUUGCUCGCCCAUUUAUGAUUUGUUGUUGAGUACGUGAAUGUGUGAAAAGAGUCUCCAACUUCGAAUGUGGUUUUGAGGAUCUAACUGUCUCUGUCGAGGUUUUCUUUUUGGAUGAAGAUGGGAAGUGAGACCGAAGGAGAUUGUGCGUUCGAGUAGGCGGGUGGGCAUAGGGUGAUUUUGUUGUGUUCAAAAAUGAAAUUAGCGCGCAAGUGAUGGGGUCAUAUUCAUGGCAGUUUUCAAUUCGCCCUUUUGUUCUUUUUUUUGGCUCUUGGAUUGGAACUUCAUUCCAUUCGGUCUAUAGUUUCGGCGCAGGCCAAAACCAAGCAUGAACCUGCACCCCCGUUUGGAUUGCUAUUUUCUGAAAUUUCAUAAUAAAAUGUAUUGUAAUGACGCACAUUUGAUAAAACUAAAAUUUGAACCUAUUAAAUUGUCAAGUAUUAAAUUUAAUAUAUUUGAGUAUAUAUUACAUUCAGUGAUUUAUGAAUAGAUCACCAUAUUUUUUGAAAUAAAUUUUGCCUAGAAAAUUUUGCGCUCUACUUAAUUAAUUCAGAUGUUCAAUUUUUUAUUAUCAAACGGUUCUAAACAUAUUAAGAUCUGAAUCUGUUAAGUUUAAAUGUUGAAUCGAGUUAUUAAACAAAGUCUAAGUAUUCACGAUAAAAAAGUGAUUGAAAAAUAUUUCUGUAAAAUUUUUUUGUGAACAAAUGGCUUUCCAAACAAGGUGAUUGGAAAAUGUGUUUUUAAUUUUUUUUUAAACUUGACUCGAUCAUUAUAGACUAAAAAGUAAUAAGAAAUUAGAACCCAAGUUUGGGUUUGAUACUUUGACGUUAAACAGAAUCAGGUUUAGCACAGAUACAGUUUUAGAUUUGGAUGGUUAUGUGGUUAUGGACUUCAGUUUUGGCUAGUUGUGGGAGCUUGAGCUUCGUGGAAUUAAACCCUUGCCACAUUGUGACCCGUAAAGGAACACUAACAUCUAACUUUAACUCGGGAGAACUGCCGCAUUUUAUUUUUGUCGUCUGGCACUCCAAAUUCGUGCACUCUCUUCGCCGAAGAGCUAAUUUAGCACAUGCUUUACUAAACUAUCUCUUCAAAGCUGGAAUUUACAGAAGCCAUUAUGCUUCUGAAAAUAGAUAAUAUAUAUGGAUUAGCUCUUCCCACUUUCAUUGUAUAUUCAACUUGUAAUAAUAGUAAGUGUCUAAUCUUACCAUCAGUUGCCAAACACACAGACAUCUGCUUCCAGCAUACAUGUAAAUCCGACGCAUCUUUUAAUCUAUGAAAGCAUAACCUUUUGAUGCCAUAAACCCAAAUUUAAUAUUCAAUAAUCAUUACAUAUGAAUUUUGGAUAAGGUAUAUGAUUGAUAAAUAUUCUUUUUUUUUUUCCUUUUUGUGGGACCUACGAAAAAGAACAUACAUUCUAAACAAAACUUCAGCAACGAUGACCAUCACGUUUGAGCCUCUGUCCCUGGGUUGCUCCGACGCACUGCAACUUGGUUAAACUCCCUGCAAUGACUGGAAACAACAAAGAACCUUCCGACUCAUCCAAACUCACGGUUAGUGUUGCGGAACCCGGCAGAAUGGUUGACAGGUUUAAUCAACUUCAGUAACCCAAAUCUGUCCCCAGCCACCUAAGCCACUGAUCCAAUGGCUGAUGCUCAAACAGUACAUAUAAACACAAUACUCGAGUGGGCAAAAACCCACAACCACCUCAGCAAUCUCUUAAACUCAACAGAACAACCGUUACAAAGCUCCAAUUAUGAGCCGAAGUUCCAACUCACUCAUGCAUAGCUGGAAGAUUGGCAGUUGGCUCUACAAUAACAGCAAAGCCGAUUGCUAAUCAAUGGAAUGCUCUUUCUGCCAUAUUCCAUAGUUCCCAAAUGAUGCUGCUUUUCAGUGCCGAUACCAGUUCCUCCAUGAGAAUCAAAUCCAAGUAACUUGCACAACUUAGUUACCACUUCUUGCCUGUAACCUGCCACUUCUACGAACAGACUGAGAUUUUGAUGCAUUAACAUUUGAGACCUGCUUGGAUGUCUCCUCAGCACUGGAUAACUGAUCAGGCAUUUGAUCGUCUACCUGGGUACACCUUCCAUUAAUGGAAUCUGGGCUGAAGUCAAUUGCUGAAUUCCCCUCUCCUGUACCUGCAAUGUGCUGCCCUUCAACACAAGGAUUGGUUUGGGGAAGAGCCAUCUUUCCCUCCUCAUUACAAGUAGCACUUUCCAAGUUAGAUUGUUCACCAUGCUUAGGUACCUUUUCAUUUAUUUCAGGUAAAGAGGUGCCAUUUAUCGAAGUGGUUCCUGUCAUUUUUGAGUCCAUGCGAGAUGAAUGACGACAACUCCAACGAGCAUUUUCAAACCAUUUACUAACCUGCAUGACAAAAGGUAGAAAGAACUCAGACCCAGAGAAAAGUUUAUAAACAGUCCAUAACGCAAGAAAGAAAAUGAACAAACCUGCUGGAUCCUGAGGCCCAAUUCUUUGGCUAAGCUUUCUUUCACACCGUUCUUUGGGUACUGAUUCUCCCUAAAAGAUUCAAGAAGUCUCUGCAGGAACAUGGUGACCGACUUUGUUAGAAAAAUGAGUCGAAGGAAAGGAUGUCAGUUUUUCCUUUUUUUUAUGAGGACAGGUGUCAUCUUCUUUAGCUACCUUUUGCCAAUUUAACUGUUAAAUAUUUGGCUCAGCUUUUUCAGUAGAUUAUUUGAUCCUCCUAUGCUUUUUUCUUAAGCUUACACUACAAAGUUUGCAGACAGUUCACAUAAUCAACUAUAGUCUCCCAGAUCAUGGCUACAAAUUUGCUUUUCAGCGCACAACAAAUUCCCAGAAUUCUUUACAAAAAACUGACUAUUCAACAUACAUAGUUCUAUACUUUAAGAAACUAGGCAAAUAUCUACAAGGUUGCAACCCUAGUCCAUGUCUGAUUGCCGAUAUGAAUAAUGGUUUCCAUUUAAAGUGUCCACUAAAAAAGUUAGAGAAAGAAGCAUGAUACAAAUUGUCCUUGUAGUUGAACAGAUUAGGCAUCAAAAAACCGUCAUCAGUGGACCUAUUUCCACAAGCAGGCAAAUUACAUUUCAUAAUUACAUAGAAUUGUUAAGGCUCUAAUUGCUUAUACUUUCAAUUAGCUGAUGAUUCAGCAGGAACAAAGCAGCAUUAGUACCUGAACUAUACCAUCCCCAAGUCUUUGGUAAGGUCUGCCUGUCCUCUUGCCACUUGAACCACCUUCAGUAGAAAUUCUUGGUGAGUCAACAGACAUAUUGUUUGAACCCUCAAUUUCAAACUUUUUAUUGAUCUUCUCCACAGGUGUCAUUUCAAAGUCUUUUUGGUUGCAAUUUUCAUCUUUAAUAUCUGCCCCCUUAUGUAUUGUUUCAGGUUCAUUGCUUGGCACUAGAAUAGCUUUCCCAGUGCUUUUCUUCCUUCUCCUUGGGCCUACAGUUUCCCCGUAAUCUUCAUCACUUGAGUCAGAAGAAGUAUCACCAUAUGUUUCCUUUGAAGGUCAGGCAUGUAAGGCAAAUAAGUCAACCACAGAGAACAGGAUAAAAACAUCAAGAAAAAACUAGAGAUCAGAGGCAAGGAUUUAAAGACUUGAAGAAAUAGUGACGAACAAAAAUGCAAUGUGACGAGAGUAAAUUAAGUCACAACUCAGUUUCAAGUUAGGUAGUUCUCAUAUUUUGUCAGAGCAAUUGGGAAAAAAUUAACAUGUUUAAUGUCUGGUCAAAGUAAUCAUCAAAAGAUAGAAAGAAAGAAAAAAUCAGCUUUUCCAUGCAUUUCCAGAUUCCGUAUGGAUUAACUUAUUUAUGUUACAAAAUCAUAUAACAUGUGAAAAUUCAUAUUACGGAUAGAAGACACAGAUCAAGGAAAUAUGAGUUAAAUAAGGCUGCUAAGGAAUAUAAGCCACAAAAACAAUUAAAUUUAGAAUUUAUGAGGGCUCCAACAAUUCAAAAUCAGUGACUGCCCAUGAACUAACACCCCUGCUUCAUUUCUGCUGCUAAGUUAACUAUGAAUUACGCCAAUAACUCGCUUGGUCUGGUCCUCUUUUUUUUUCCCGGUAGCCAUUCUUUUCACAUCAGCAACAGUCUCUUUAUGCUUCCAAUUUUGUUUAAACACAAUCAAAGAAAAAAGGAAAUUGUAGCACAGUAGACCAAAUACGAGGCAUCAAAGGGACACAGAAAAAAAUGAACUUGAUGAUAAACUUGAGCCAAGAAGGUCAUACAUCUGGACUGAAUGGCCUCAAUCAAGCUGCUCUCAGAAGCAUUUGCUAAAUUUUAAAAAUGAAAAUAUCAGGUAAUGGUCAUGCAAAGAUGGUGUAGGUUAAUUGCAAUUUACCCCCCUCAAGCUUGCAAAUUUUACAAGCACAAGCAAAAUAACCAAUCGUAGAAAAGGUGGAUGAAUAAAUAUCAGAAAUACAACAAAAGUUGAUGAUCGCAUAAUAGAAGCAUCACGGCAAACAAAGGCCUAGUAAUACAUAUCUACAUUGCAUCAUGGCCAUUUUACUACACAAAAACAUUGUUAAGAGUUAAAGCAUUAUAUAGAAUACUAGGCUAUGAUAUAUUUCCACCAUCAAACUGUUAAACAAAUGAGGGGUUGGGUACGGGAGGGGGGAGGAAAAGCAUUACAAUUUAGAUGUCAAUUGUGCUUUGCUUCAUGAAUGACUUAGGGUAUGGUGGACAUCUCAAUGACGGCAACCAAUUGAUGCACGUGUACAGACAUAUAUAGUGAGACUCUGAAAAAGAAAUAUAACAGCUUACUUCAUGCAGCUUCUUGUAGUCCAAUCUUUCUACGUGUCUUUUCCCAGAUACAGGUGCAUCAUUAGACUCCAAAAGGAAGGAUAGUUCAUCACUCAAAGAAUGUCUCUUAUCUCUACCUACUUUAAAGAUUUGACCGAUAGAACCCACAGGUAGGUUGCUCUGAGUUGAUACAGAAGAUACAUGGCCUGCUUCUUCACCUAGCGGUUCUUUCUCAUGAAACAUGGCACCAAAAUCCUCCGAGUCUGAUGAAAAAUCAGAACUUGAACUUUCCUGCUUAGCAAGCUCACCAUGGUCUGCGGCACUGGGGUCAAAAUCAUCAUCUUCUGAAUCAUCAGAAGGAAGCCCCAAAAUCUGUUCAGCUUUAACAGCACUCACUGGUUCCUCUGAGGCAGAAAAGUAAUCAGAUUCAUCAGAACUUGAUUCCUCUCCCAAAACCAUAUUAUCUACUUCCGGUUUAUCAGGGUCAUAGUCAUCAUCAUCUGAAUCAUCUGAUGGAAGUCCAGAAUAAUCAUCCAUCUUCAUUCCAGAUGCUGCUGCUGCAGCCUCCUCAGGAAACACCUUCUGCAUAUGAGUCAAAGAGCCAUUCAUGAGCAACUAAUGACAAAGAUCCAAACAGUAUCUCCAAAGAAAAUAAGCAUACCUCCCAUUUAUCAAGGACAGAAAGAUUUGAUCCCUGAAAAUCACUAAGCAAUUCAAUGCAGUCAACUUUGCAAUCACAUCCAGGACAAAGCCAACCUUCUUCAUCAGGGGGAACUGUUUACCACCAUAAACGGAGGAAAAAGAAAGAAAAGCUACAUGAGAUACUACACUAAUUAGAUGAAUAAGUAUGACAAGUACCAUGGAUUAAGUGUGGAAAUUACUAUCUUCUUUCAACAGAGGUGGUUCCAAACAAAAUUGGUGGAAUCCGCGUUCACAAGCUCCAUCACAAAGAAUAAUAUCAUUAUCCAGUGUCAAAUCCUUUGAGCCACACUUCGCACAAAAUAUCUGCAUCAAAAAGAGAAGCAAUCUUAGUAUUUCCUUAUCAAGUAGACCAACAGCUCAUAGUCAAUAAACAUCUCCUACAUCUUCACUGUCAAUUUGUCCAUCAGAAUCAAAUAAAGAUUCUGGAAGCUUUCCCUCUGCAAGUAACAAGUCAAUCUGUCGAAAUAAAUCCCUUAUUUUCAACUUGUAGCGGAAAAUCUGAGAUUUUGCCCUUUGAAGCUCCUUCUCAGGCUUUAUCUUUUCUAGGCUGCAAAACAUACCAAUGUCAUGAAAUUUGAUGUUAAAACAUGCCAAUUAUCAGAUCAACAAUUACCAGUUAUGCAAUUUUCUAUUAAGACAUUGUUCAAAACUUCAUAGAAAAAAUAAGGAAGUCUAGCUCGACCAACCACAAACUAUACAAGAAUGCAAUUGUUAAGCGCACUAGAACCAUAAACUAUACAAGAAGACAGGUCUUCACCUAUACUGGAAAGCAACACAACAAUAAAAUCCAACAGCAGCACCAUGCAGCAACUUAAAAGCAGUGAUACUAUACUUGUCCUGCUGAUUCCACAAAUCAGAAUGACCAAAGAGAUAUUUCAAGUAUCCAAAACAUCUAAAGCCAUUGUUUUGUAACAUUAAAAAUAGGUUCAGUGCAUAGAAAUCAUUAACCACAUAAUUCCUUUAAACAGCCAUAAUCCGUAAGACUAAGAACAUCUAUGUUAGCUGGGAACAAUUGAAUACCAUGAUAUAUUUUGUUGAAAUAAUUCAACAACAGCAUCUUGUACACCCAAACUACAAAGCACAAAAUAUUGAAGAAUGAUACAAUGCAUACAUCACUUCAUCUGUGCAUACAAACCUUUGUCCUUUCCAGCCUUCACCGGAGUAAGCAUCAAUUAAGUUCUGCUCAUAUUUUAUUCGGUGGAGUAAAUAUCUUAGAUGGGCCCUUAUUCUUGAAAAUUCGUUUACAGGGAUGUUUCUUCUCUGCUUCUUCUUUCUCCUUUUUCGUCUGUAUGCUUCAGUAGCAGCAUCUUCCACCACAUCUUUUUUCUCAGACUCUUUAGAUUUCUCUUGUGACCUUGAGCGAAGAACUCUAGCAGUAACCGGAAUGGUCGAAGUAGAUUUCCUCUUCCUGGAUUCGAAAGGAGUUCUUUUAUCAAGAACUGACUCUCCACCAGCAUUUACUGCACCUUUUUGUGUUGAUUCUGUUUGCUGAGGAUCAACAUGCAUGGAUGCAUCCUGAGGUUCUGAUCCAAGACUGGCAAAAGCAGGAACCACUGCCACAUUUUCACAUGGGGAUACUGAAAUCUGUAUGUAUUCCUCGAGACCAGUAAGGUCAGGUGCUGCUAUCUCUGUUUCUGUCAGUCUGUUAUCAACAUUGUCAUCCCCUACAACUUGCUUCUGCUCCAAUGGCUCAGCAUUGGCACUUUCAGGCAAAUACUGAAUGUUAUGCAAUCUGAAGGACUCGAAAUCUGAAUUGUUGGUUAAACCAUCUACUGUUUUCAAAAUUUCCACACUAUUAGCAUUUGAUUUUCUGAUGCCUGUUUCUUCUGGACCUAUAUGUGCAUCUUUGACCAUCUCACAUUUCUGAAUCACCGACUCAGUGCAUCGAUUUCCAGAAACAAAUCCAUUACCAAGUUCCAAUGCACGUUGCUCCGGGCUUAAGUGGCUCUCAGACAAGCUGCUUUCUCGUACUACAUCCAUGUUCAUGAUCUCAUAGGUUGAAAUAGAGGAAUAAAAAGUUGCUAAUAUUGUCCUGAGAUGUAAGUAAGUAAUCACUCUUUGCUUCUCAAGGAUUCCAAUAAUAAGUGCACAAAGACGAUAGAUGUGUUUGGAUAAGAGAAUAUUUCGCAUAAUUUUUUGCCAAAAAUACUGUAGCACUUUUUUGACGUCAUGUACAUUAGAUAAAAAGGUGGUUGAAAGAUGUGUCUAUGAUACAAGCAAAUAAAUUUGUGCAAAUAACAAAUUAUCCAAACAAAACCUGUUUGUCAUACAGCAAUGAGCUCCAUACACCUAAAAGUAACAUGACAGGAAAAUUCAGUAGUUAAAUUUGACCCGACCCAAUAACUGACGAUUAUUAUUCAUUCAGUCAUUAUCUGUGCAGUUUGUCAGAAAGGAAAAUGACUGAAAAGGCAAAUAAUUCAAGACAAUGUAUGACUCCGGAAUCCACAUGGCUAAGGCCCUGUUUGAUCAAGUCAGUACUUAAACUUAAUGGAUUCAUAUCUUAACAUGUAAACGUGUUUGAUAACCAACGAUAGAACAUCUUAAUUAAUUAAGUGGGUAUGAAUUGUGUAGGCAAAACUUCAAAAAAAAGUGAUAAACUAUUCACUUAUCACUUAAUGCAGAAUGCACUCAUAUAUUAGGAUUUCUGUAUUUAGAAUUCAACAACUUAACAAAUUCAGAUUUCAGAUUUUAGUUUUAUCAAAUGCACUCUCUAAGUUGGAAUAACAGUCCAUUUUGUUUCACAACAACAAACAGUAUUUUGUUUUCUUUGUUAUCAACAGAAAUCAAGAUUCAAAGGAUCUUAGAUUCUCAGGUUUGCACACUAGAUUACAAAAGCUUUAGGAAGGGAACUACAGCAGUCCUAGAUGGACACGAAUUGGUAAGAACUUCAAGGAGAUCAGAGUGCAUGGACGGAUAAUCAUCCAUGUACAAGGUAAAGAAAAAGAUAUCUAUCAUUUAAAGCCCAUAGCCCUAUGUUACCAAUCCCUCUAUGCCAAAAUGAUUCCAACUUCCCAUGGAAGAAAUUAAGAUUUUCGGUGAUAGUGCCCUAAUUGAAAACUUUAUCCCCAACUGAAUGCCCGUGAAAUGACUAUUGUGCACAGCAAUUAGGGCUAUGUGAUGAUGCGUAAUGCAUGAAGCACACUCUCUUGGAGGUGUUACUAACACCAAUCCUAGUAUCAUUCCACCAUGAAGUAAGAUUAGACUGUGGGACCACAUCAAGAAGAUUUCAAUUACUGUAGAAGGGUAUAUCUUGGAAAGAGCAUUUUCUUUUCCAAUUAGGGUAAUGAUACCAAUUUUGGCAGAAAGCAAAAAUGGAAACAUGACACUAUCAAUGGGAAAGAGUCAAGUAAUCUACGUCUAAUCUAUGUCAUUAGCUCACUAUUAACUGGAUUAGAUAGAAGCUUUCCCACCGUUUACUAAGAAAGCGCUGUAGGGCGAUGGGCCUUUUCGCUCCUUGCCAGGUUACCUUAGCAAAGAAGUGAGAUGAUAUUUCCAGUAUACAUAGGCAGAUCCGCUCCAAACAUUUCAAGCAGAUUUUUCAUCACAUUUGCAUUUCAGACUGAAUUGCGUAAAUACAGGUUCUUCUUUCAAUUUUAUUGAAACAACCAUCUCUCUUUACCAGUGUAGAGGCAUGGCCUUAGGACCUAUACCAGACAAAGCACACUGGAUACAAUUUGCCCAAACAAAAGUGUUAUCUACUGCUCUGAGUUUUGAAAGCUCAAAUACUCAGAAUUAAACGUCUUAGAAGAUAUCAUGGUAUAUCUUACAUGCAGACCAAUACUGAGGUUGAUUUACAAUAUCAAGUGAGCAUCCAAUAUUCAAUAUAAAGUGUUUCAAAUGGUUAGGAAAUUAUAAACCAAGAGAACUCUGACAGAAUAGAAACUGAAACUCCGAGAUGAUUUACAGUCUCCUUUCCAAGCAGCUUGGGAGUGACUUAUAGAACUGCACUGCAGUUGUGACACAAGGUCAAGGCAAACCUCUCAAGAGGCUUAUUAGCUUGAAAUGCCAGUGACAUCCAAAUUGACGCGUUAUCCUCUUGUUUUGGAGUUGAUCUUUUUGGCCCAAGAUAUAACAAAAACAGUCGCAGAACAUUACCAAUUUUGAAAGACAAACAGAUCUCAAAAGUAAAGAUCAUCUACCAUCCACAUUUUAACUAGUAGUAUUAUUUUGCUGAAGCAGACACAAUUGACUAUUACCUCCAUUUCUAUGACGUCGAUGUGUUGAAUUACUUUCAUGCUGGUACCAAGUUUUUUUCUUUUUUACUUUGGCUGCAAACUAGAGUUUUAUUCCUGGAGCCUGGGCAACCGGAAACAAGCUUCUUUACCAUAUAAUGUCAGUCAGGGCCUGAAAAUUUGAUCUGAACAUCCUUUUCUUACCCUAUAUAUUGCAGUCCCUUCUCAUUUCAUCAUCAAACCAAUUACAACAGCGUCCAAGUCCUUGAGAAGUUCUCAAAUUUCAACUAUACUUCCGUCCCAAAAGGGAAAAGAAAAAGACUUGCCAACCCAACAAAUGACAGAAAGAUUCUAGAAUUGAAAACCAAAGAACUUGAAUAACAACGAAUUUUAGCAUAUCUGAUACAUCCAUGCGCAGCAUUGCUAUAAAAAAUUAUUCUAAAACUCUAAACCCGGGCAACAACGUAAAGUAUUCAACUAGUAAUUUCUUCUAACUCCAAAACUAUAAAUAAAAAAAAAAAACAAACAAACAAAGUCGGCGACGAAGAAAGGAAAAAACAGAUAUCGUAAACUCUUUUCUUCGUUUUUUUUUCAGGUUCUAAAACAGCAAAUUUAUCAGGAUAUGAGCUGAAAUUUCCAAUCUACACAUUCUGAGAACUGUACUUACAAUACAUUCUGCGAGGGGAGGGAGAAUGAGGUAUACCUGAAGCAAAAGACGGCGAAAGAGAAAAGGAGGAGGAAGAAGCGAGAGAAUCAGUGGAGUCAGAUCAAGUGUAGGAGAAGUCUAGGGUUUUCUUGAGGAAGCGUCGGAGAGAGAAGAUGAUUUAGUAGUUAACGUGAUGGACAGCAGCAAGAAAAAGAAAAGCUGUUGGGGAUUGGCGGUUUCGGAGGCAUUCUCUCGUCACCGCCGAUAUAUUGCAGUAGUAGUUAAAAAAGAUGAAAAGAAGAGCGGUCAGCUUAUUAUCGCCCUCUGCGCCAGGUGGGCAUCUACGUUCCCCCCGGAGAGAGAGAGAGAGAGAGAGAGAGUCUAGUGGUGGCAGGGCCAAGUGAAUUUAGCAAAGCACCAGCAUGUUCAGCAAUACAGCUCAAAGAGAGUGUGAAAUUCCUUGAUUUCGCCGCUAUUUUGCGAGAUUCCGGGUUUGUAUUGGCAAAGCCGGUUUUGCUGAAUCUUUGGAUGGGAGAGGUCCUCGCUCCACAGCCCUGUCCUGAUGUCAUUGUUUUCUGAUACUUCCAGAAGCAAGUUCCUUUUGGGCCUCGCAUGUUCUUGCACUCUAUAUUUGGGUCUCGUAGAACCUGCAAAACACUAUUCAACAACGGGCCUGCAAUUGAGUUAUGGGCUCUCAUGUGGAAUUAACAUCCCACCUUCAUUGCUUCGUACCUUGUUGGGCUCUUAACCCCACUCUAAAUCCAGCAAACACGUCGUACAAGUGGGCUUAACAAUUAUGGGCAUCAAAUUUUUUUGUUUAUUCGUUUUACACUUUUAGAAUGUUUGGGCCUGCCAAGUGGGAAAUCUCGAUCUGUAUGUGCCAAUGAUUAAGGUAUAUUCACUGUCCAUGCUACUAACACGUUGUACAGGGCCCUUUCUAACUUAUUACUGUAAGGUCUUUUAUGCUCCAAGGAAAUUUUCAAACAUUAUUUUGUAUGUUUCACACGAUAUAAAAAUUAAUAUAAUCAUAUAAUUUCAAUUAUACAAUUUAAAAGUUCAAAAUUUAGCAGUAAUUUUAGUCACAAGGUCAGCUUUUAUAAGGAUGGGAGCCAAAAAAAUAGUAAAAGCAAAGUUAUUAAGCAUAUAUGUGAGAACUUUGAAAAUUUCCAAAUACUGAUGUAUUUAAUUAUUUCUACAUAUGGAUUGCCACCGAAUGUUUUAUGUGCAGAAUGGCUUAAACACGAGGAUGGCUUAUGACUACAAAAGCUGCAUGGGGUUGAAAAUUAAGCCACGUCAAGGAGAUGGGCUACUGUUUUAUUCACUGUUUCCAAAUGGAACUAUUGACAAGGUAGAGUUUCAUCUUUCCUUAAAAACCUUCUUUUGUGCCAGGAUUUGGUCCAGUGAUACCAUUGAACUUCUUUUUCUGGGGCACAUAGAGAUUGAAAAUAUAAAAAGCAUGUACAUUAGAUAAAGAUUGAAUGCUGUGGUUUGAUUUUCAUCUCCAGCAUUUCUUCAAAUUCACCUGCACUAAAUAAGACACUGCCAUUUUUAAGCCUUGAUUCCAGUACCUUAAUUCAUAGAUUGCCUGUAUGACGGAUAGAAACUUAAACCUAAAUCUAUGAUACCAAGAAGAACUUGAAUCCUUCACCAUAGUCCAUAGAUCCAUCCAUUUGGUUGUCAUACUACUGUAGACUUCAGUCUUUCGACUGAUCAUUUAAAUAAUAAUAAUAAUAAUAAUAGGUCUUAGCACUCCCCGUUCUGAACUUUUGUUGUGCUAUCUUGCAGACAUCUCUCCAUGGAAGCUGCCCUGUGAUCAAAGGGGGAAAAUGGGUGGCUACAAAAUGGAUCAGGGAUCAAGUACUUGACGACUGAUUCAUGCAAUUCACAAAAGGACACCGUGAUUAACUUCUGUUCCCAUAAUUCCCCAGAAAUUUUAGGAAACGUCUUUUAGAGACCACCCCUUUCGCUUUUUUUUUUUUUUUUUUUUUUGGGGUGGGAAAAACAGGUCAUUGAACUUGGAUGAGGAUACCAUAUUUGCUUUGUGAAAAGCUCUAAAAAUUAUUAUUGUUUUUGUCCAUCUAACCUUCUUAAACCCCCCCAAAAACGAAUCUGGUUUAACGCUGGCCAACAAAAAUUAAUGUAUAAGCUUCUUUACCAUAUAAUGUCAGUCAGGGCCUGAAAAUUUGAUCUGAACAUCCUUUUCUUACCCUAUAUAUUGCAGUCCCUUCUCAUUUCAUCAUCAAACCAAUUACAACAGCGUCCAAGUCCUUGAGAAGUUCUCAAAUUUGAACUAUACCUCCGUCCCAAAAGGGAAAAGAAAAAGACUUGCCAACCCAACAAAUGACAGAAAGAUUCUAGAAUUGAAAACCAAAGAACUUGAAUAACAACGAAUUUUAGCAUAUCUGAUACGUCCAUGCACAGCAUUGCUAUAAAAAAUUAUUCUAAAACUCUAAACCCGGGCAACAACGUAAAGUAUUCAACUAGUAAUUUCUUCUAGCUCCAAAAUUAAAAAAAAAAAAAAAAAACAAACAAACAAACAAACAAAGUCGGCGACGAAGAAAAAAAAAACAGAUAUCUUAAACUCUUUUCUUCGUUUUUUUUUCAGGUUCUAAAACAGCAAAUUUAUCAGGAUAUGAGCUGAAAUUUCCAAUCUACACAUUCUGAGAACUGUACUUACAAUACAUUCUGCGAGGGGAGGGAGAAUGAGGUAUACCUGAAGCAAAAGACGGCGAAAGAGAAAAGGAAGAGGAAGAAGCUAGAGAAUCAGUGGAGUCAGAUCAAGUGUAGGAGAAGUCUAGGGUUUUCUGGAGGAAGCGUCGGAGAGAGAAGAUGAUUUAGUAGUUAACGUGAUGGACAGCAGCAAGAGAAAGAAAAGCUGUUGGGGAUUGGCGGUUUCGGAGGCAUUCUCUCGUCACCGCCGAUAUAUUGCAGUAGUAGUUAAAAAAGAUGAAAAGAAGAGCGGUCAGCUUAUUAUCGCCCUCUGCGCCAGGUGGGCAUCUACGUUCCCCCCGGAGAGAGAGAGAGGGUCUAGUGGUGGCAGGGCCAAGUGAAUUUAGCAAAGCACCAGCACGAUCAGCAAUACAGCUCAAAGGGAGUGUGAAAUUCCUUGAUUUCGCCGCUAUUUUGCGAGAUUCCGGGUUUGUAUUGGCAAAGCCGGUUUUGCUGAAUCUUUGGAUGGGAGAGGUCCUCGCUCCUCAGCCCUGUCCUGAUGUCAUUAUUAUUGUUUUCUGAUACUUCCAGAAGCAAGUUCCUUUUGGGCCUCGCAUGUUCUUGCACUCUAUAUUUGGGUCUCGUAGAACCUACAAAACAGUAUUCAACAACGGGCCUGCAAUUGAGUUAUGGGCUCUCAUGUGGAAUUAACAUCCCGCCUUCAUUACCUGGUACGUUGUUGGACGCUUAACCCCACUCGAAAUCCAGCAAACACGUCGUACAAGUGGGCUUAACAAUUAUGGGCAUCAAAAUUUUUUGUUUGUUCUUUUUACACUUUUAGAAUGUUUGGGCCUGCCAAGUGGGAGUGCGAGUGAUUAAGGUAUACUCGCUGUCUAUGCUACUAACACGGUGUACAGGGCCCUUUCUAACUUAUUACUGUGAGGUCCAAGGAAAUUUUCAAACAUUAUUUUGUACGUUUCACACUAUAUAAAAACUAAUAUUAUCAUAUAAUUUCAAUUAUACAAUUUAAAAGUUCAAAAUUUAGCAGUAAAUUUAGUCACAGGUCAGCUUUUAUAAGGAUGGUGGGAGCAAAAAAAAUAGUAAAAGCAAAGUUAUUAAGCAUAUAUGUGAGAACAUUGAAAAUUUCCAAAUACUGAUGUAUUUAAUUAUUUCUAUUUAAAUUUAAUUUUGAGAUAAUAUAUGGAACUCAAUACGCUAAUAACUAAUAAUAGAGAAUUUACCCUAAAUUCCAGGUAAGUAGUGUGUGUGUGU